rnacentral:rRNA from 1 species
CUCAGGAUGAACGCUAGCGGCAGGCUUAAUACAUGCAAGUCGUGGGGCAGCAUGAGUAGCAAUACUUGAUGGCGACCGGCAAACGGGUGAGGAACACGUACACAACCUUCCUUCAAGCGGGGAAUAGCCCAGAGAAAUUUGGAUUAAUACCCCAUAAUAUAUUUGAUAAGGCAUCUUAUUAAUAUUAAAGCUUCGGCACUUGAUGAUGGGUGUGCGGCUGAUUAGAUAGUUGGCGGGGUAACGGCCCACCAAGUCUACGAUCAGUAGCUGAUGUGAGAGCAUGAUCAGCCACGCGGGCACUGAGACACGGGCCCGACUCCUACGGGAGGCAGCAGUAAGGAAUAUUGGACAAUGGACGAAAGUCUGAUCCAGCCAUGCCGCGUGAAGGAUUAAGGUCCUCUGGAUUGUAAACUUCUUUUAUAUGGGACGAAAAAAGGGCAUUCUUGUUCACUUGACGGUACCAUAUGAAUAAGCACCGGCUAACUCCGUG